rnacentral:rRNA from 1 species
CGCCCAUCAGCUAGCCCCUCCAACCAAAAAUAACAAACCACUAUUAAUAACCCCAAAUACACUAGCUUACAUUAAACAAACCAUUUUUCCCCCUUAGUAUGGGCGACAGAAAAG